rnacentral:rRNA from 1 species
AGAGUUUGAUCCUGGCUCAGGAUGAACGCUGGCGGCGUGCGUAACACAUGCAAGUUGAACGACGGUGCCAUGAAGUGGUAACACGGAGUGGUAUACGGAGUAGCGGACGGGUGAGUAAAGCAUGAGGAUCUGUCCUGUCGAGGGGGAUAACGUUCGGAAACGGACCCUAAUACCCCAUAGUCCGAGAGGUUAAAGGCAGCGAUGCGCGGCAGGAGGAGCUCGUGUCCUAUCAGCUAGUUGGUGAGGUAACGGCUCACCAAGGCUUCGACGGGUAGCCGGCCUGAGAGGGUGACCGGCCACACUGGAACUGAGAAACGGUCCAGACUCCUACGGGAGGCAGCAGUGGGGAAUAUUGGGCAAUGGGAGGAAUCCUGACCCAGCGACGCCGCGUGAACGAAGACGGCCUUCGGGUUGUAAAGUUCUUUUAUGUGGGAAGAAGGAAGUGACGGUACCACAUGAAUAAGCCCCGGCUAACUACGUG